rnacentral:tRNA from 1 species
GGAUUGUGGCUCAGUGGUAGAGUGCUCGCCUAGCAUGCACAAGGCCCUGGGUUCUAACCUCAGCACCA